rnacentral:rRNA from 1 species
UACGGGGGGAGCAAGCGUUGUUCGGAUUUACUGGGCGUAAAGGGCGCGUAGGCGGCGCGGUAAGUCACUUGUGAAAUCUCUGAGCUUAACUCAGAACGGCCAAGUGAUACUGCAGUGCUAGAGUGCAGAAGGGGCAACUGGAAUUCUCGGUGUAGCGGUGAAAUGCGUAGAUAAUCGAGAGGAACACCUGCGGCGAAGGCGG